UCCGAGUUGACCCCGGCAGUCUCCCAUGAGUCCCCGCCAUUACGCGCUGGCAACAUGGAACGAGGGUUGCGCUCGUUGCGGGACUUAACCCAACAUCUCACGACACGAGCUGGCGACAACCAUGCACCACCUGUACACCGACCUUGCGGGGCGACCAUCUCUGGCCGUUUCCGGUGUAUGUCAAGCCUUGGUAAGGUUCUUCGCGUUGCAUCGAAUUAAUCCGCAUGCUCCGCCGCUUGUGCGGGCCCCCGUCAAUUCCUUUGAGUUUUAGCCUUGCGGCCGUACUCCCCAGGCGGGGCACUUAAUGCGUUAGCUGCGUCACGGAACCCGUGGAACGGGACCCACAACUAGUGCCCAACGUUUACGGCAUGGACUAC
rnacentral:misc_RNA from 1 species